rnacentral:rRNA from 1 species
GACGAACGCUGGCGGUGCGCUUAAUGCAUGCAAGUCGAACGAGAACGGCGGCUUCGGUCGCUAAGUAAAGUGGCAGACGGCUGAGUAACACGUAAGUAACCAACCCCGGAGCGGGGAAUAAUCAUGAGAAAUCGUGCCUAAUACCCCGUACGUCCCAACAGGCGUUGCCGUUGGGGGAAAGGCUUCGGUCGCUCUGGGACGGGCUUGCGGCCUAUCAGGUAGUUGGUGGGGUAAAGGCCCACCAAGCCAUAGACGGGUACCCGGUGUGAGAGCACGAACGGGCAGAGGGGGACUGAGACACGGCCCCCACUCCUACGGGAGGCAGCAGCAGGGAAUCUUGCGCAAUGGGCGAAAGCCUGACGCAGCGACACCGCGUGGAGGAAGAAGGCUUUCGGGUCGUAAACUCCUUUUCUCGGGGAAGAGAACGGACGGUACCCGAGGAAUAGGCAUCGGCUAACUACGUGCCAGCAGCCCGCGGUAAUACCUAGGAUGCCAGCGCUGUCCGGAUUUACUGGGGCG